CCCGCCCCCGCCCGCGACGCUUCCGGGAGGUCUAGGCGGCUGCCGUGAGCCGGUCCGAAACGGCUCUAGGUGCACUGUCCGGCUCCAGCCAGGUCCGCUACGCCUGGAGAGCAUGGAGGCAAGUUCUGCCGGCUCCACCUGCAAAGCAGAGCCCCUUUCCACGACUGUGCAGCACCGCUCGCUCCAGCCCCACCAUACCCGCCUGGACGGAGACCGACCGCAGCCUGGGAGAGCCUCCAAGCCUGGAGGCGGGCGCGCGAGCCCUUUCCAAGGAGAACCCACAGCGGCUUCCCCUCUUGCUCCAGGGGCCUCUAGAUCCCACCCCACCUGGCACCUGCGUCUCUCCCAGAACUCGGCCUGCCCCUACCUUCCUGCCAGCCCCCACCCUGCUGGGGCUACUGGGACCUCCUAGCGGCAUGCAGCGUUCAGUAAGCAGCCGCCGGGCCCGGCCUUCGGCCUUUGCAUUUCCCGGUCCAGAUAUGGAGGUGACGGAGGUGUGCUGCGCACUCCCUGCACGCCUCUCCUCCACUGCUCCCCCAUGAGAGGCCUUCCCUAAACCCGGCUAAAGAGUACCUACCCCGUCACCCCCGGCCCGUCCCCCCCCCGUCCCCCUCAGACCUAGGAUGCACCCACCCGCCAGGGGGUUUCAGAGCCAGGGCAGGGUGCCGGCCAUCCAGCCCCAUCCCAGCACCCUUGUCCCUCGGUCCUCCCACUACUCGUCUAGUACUCCCUACACGCCACUCCGCAGGGCUCAACCCCCGCUGUGCUCUGCGGUCGCAGCUGCAGCCGCUUCGGUGCUCCAAGACCAGAGAGGAAGCAAAGACAGAGCUUUCCCAGCCAGGCAUCGCUGCUUUGGCCUUGAAGCUCAGCGUGUGGCUACCUGGACCAAUUCUGUCUGAUGGGGUGUGCAGUAGUGUCAUGAACUACUUCUAUCCCAGGAAGUAACUUGUAAAUGAGUGGAUGAGCCAAUUCUCCUUCUUUCUCUUCCUGCUGGCUGAAGUGUGGACAUGAUGGCAGGAGCUGCAGCAGUCACAUUGGACCAUGGGUCAUCGUGGGAAUGGAAGUCACACAAGGGUAUUUAAAGCCACACAAGGAUAAUGAGCACUGGAUAGAUGGAGCCCGAGUCCCCAUCACAGUGUAGCCCCUGUAACAGAUCUAGACUUCCUGCCUCCCACAUUGAGUAAACUGCUCUCUUGCUUAAGCCACUAUUAUGUUAGGAUUUUUUCAACCCAUAGUCAGAGAUAGUCCUAACUGAUUCACCACCCUCAGAGAGUUUACAGCCAAUUAUGUUUCUCAUGAAAAAGGUUAGCCAGUGGUUGUAAGUGAUCCCGGACUGGAGCGCCAGCUGCACUAAGGCAGUUCGUCUGUGGGAUGGCUCUGUCCUUGUCAGGGAGAGGACCCCUCCUACACACUGGCAUGUUACCACAAGUACAGUGGUAACUAAGCAGGUCGGCAUAGGUGCCCACAGAGCAGACUGAACACCCCGUUUGCUUCCCUCUCCUCUCCGAACUCCCUGGACAUGGCCAAGUAGCAUAAGCCAAGCAGAGGUGAGAAGGAGAGUGGGGCACAGGCAAGUUACCAGUGGGCCCGCGGCUAUCAUGGACUUCCAGAAAAUAAAAAACAGGCAUGAUGGUGUUGGUUUAUAAACCAAAGCAGAGGGCACUGGAGCCCCGUAAGUGUGCAGGAGUGAAUGUAUGUGGCAGGGAGAAGGGUAGAAGGGAGGAGGUUGGGUAGAAGGCUACCUCUACCAGCUGGAAAUGAGUGGUGAAGUCAGCUGGACUUCUGGGUGGGGCGGGGACUUGGAGAACUUUUCUGUCUUACAAAGGGAUUGUAAAAUGCACAAAUCAGCACUCUGUAGAUAGGAUUGUAAAACGCACCAAUCAGCUCUCUGUGGCUAGCUAGAGGUUUCUAAAAUGGACCAAUCAGUGCUUUGUAAAGUGGACCAAUCAGAACACUGUAAAAUGGACCAAUUAGUGCUCUGUAAAAUGGACCAAUCAGACCAAUCAGCACUCUGUAAAAUGGACCAAUCAGCAGGACAUGGGUGGGGACAAAUAAGGGAAUAAAAGCUGGCCACCCUCCAGUCAGCAGCAGGCAACCCACUGGGUCCCCAUCCCUGUUGUGGUGUAUUUGUUAUUUUGCUCUUGGCAAUAAAUCUUGCUGCUGCUCA